UUUCUCCCUCAGGUUCCUGACCAAGCUGGUGCUUCUGCGUGUGUUCCUGCAUGACUUGGUGUGUCCCCUUCUCUUGGAUCUACUGCAGUUGACAGCAGAUAACUGAAAGCUCGGAAAGCGAAACCGUGGAUAAGCAGGGGAACUGUGGCAUCCCAUUUAAAAUUGCUUCUGAAGAGAAGCAUGAGGUUACAUCUGUAAUCUCCCUGCAGCAGAGUCAACUGCAUAAGAAACCAAAAGACACACCUGCUCCAUGCCAGCUUCGAUAAUUUCUUUGUACCUUCGGCGAAAGAAGCCCAUCUGAAAGGCAGAAAGAAAGAGGAGAAGCUGAGUUAGAAGUGCUGAAGAAUCAGCCAUUGUGACCCCAAGGCAGUCUGUCCCUGGGUAGGUGUGACCUGCACUCACAGGGCUGGGGAGGCUUGGAGGACCCCUCGGAUUAGAGAAAACACUGGCAAGAAAAACAUCCGGUGGAGACAUUUUUCAAAAUGCAUGGACUUCCUGCGGGUGAUAUUAGGCUUCUUCACUGUGAGCCAAACAUCCAGGGAAGCAUCACAGCCACCCUGAUGGUCAUAAGCUCCCCUGAAGAAGGGAAGGCAGGUGGACCUGAGGAGCUGUCUGUUGCCACCAUCUUUCUACUUCCCUAAAGGGGGCUUAUUGGCCAAGCCAAAGACGAGAACUGUCAAGAGAGCCAGCAGGUAUCUUCACCCACGUUGCCAAGGAGAUCCUGAGCAUUCACUGUGAGGGGAAGUCGAUAAGGUGGUGCAGUUUGAAUGACUGGGAAAGAGCAGAAGCUUUCUUAGAACAACUGGCAAGAGUCUUGUGUUCUGAGCUUCAAUCCUCAAGGCCAGUUUUGUAAACAGAUAUUGAGUUCCUGGUGAUUUCAGCCCUGGAGGUUUCUUCCCAGCAUAAGACCACAUUCAUCAGAAUGCCACGUUCUGACGCCCCCACACAUAUACUUUUCUCUCCUGAAACCUCUUCACCUUCUCCCCUCUGCAAGAGAUGUGGAAAAGGUGCUUGGCCAGAAUUUUCUGGAUAAUUAAGAAAAAGUCAUAGACAUCAUCCCCACAGCACACCCACAGAAGGCCAGAAAAACGGACCAAGACUGAAUGGAAAUCUAAGAAGCUACUGCUUGAAAUGUCAUUCUUUUGCGAUAAAGGUGUGGUUGGCCAAGAAAACAUGACCAGAUGUGGCUGGUCACAUGCCAUGAAGGAGAAUGUAAUCAUGAAACUGUGGAAGGAUGUAACAGGGAAAUAAGAUUCUCUAGCACAUA